rnacentral:rRNA from 1 species
UACGGAAGGCAGCAGUGGGGAAUAUUGCACAAUGGGCGCAAGCCUGAUGCAGCCAUGCCGCGUGUAUGAAGAAGGCCUUCGGGUUGUAAAGUACUUUCAGCGGGGAGGAAGGCGAUGCGGUUAAUAACCGCGUCGAUUGACGUUACCCGCAGAAGAAGCACCGGCUAACUCCGUGCCAGCAGCCGCGGUAAUACGGAGGGUGCAAGCGUUAAUCGGAAUUACUGGGCGUAAAGCGCACGCAGGCGGUCUGUUAAGUCAGAUGUGAAAUCCCCGGGCUUAACCUGGGAACUGCAUUUUGAAACUGGCAGGCUUGAGUCUUGUAGAGGGGGUAGAAUUCCAGGUGUAGCGGUGAAAUGCGUAGAGAUCUGGAGGAAUACCGGUGGCGAAGGCGGCCCCUGGGACAAAGCUGACGCUCAGGUGCGAAAGCGUGGGGAGCGAAACAGGGAUUAGGAUACCCGGU